GCGAACGGGUGAGUAACACGUGAGGAACCUGCCCCGAAGACCGGGAUAACCCUCCGAAAGGAGAGCUAAUACCGGAUGCCCUUACCGGACCGCGAUGAUCCGGUGAGGAAAUGGAUUCCGCUUCGGGAGGGUCUCGCGGCCUAUCAGCUUGUUGUGUGGGGUAGAUCUGGGCCCACCAAGGGCUUCGACGGGUAGCUGGUCUGAUGAGGACGAUCAGCCACACUGGGACUGAGCCACGGUAACAAAACCCAUACGGGAGGCAGCAGUGGGGAAUCUUGCGCAAUGGGCGAAAGCCUGACGCAGCAACGCCGCGUGGGGGAUGAAGGCUCUCGGGUUGUAAACCCCUUUCAGAGGGACGAAUCUGACGGUACCUGCAGAAGGAAGCCCCGGGCAA
rnacentral:rRNA from 1 species